GUUGUGAGGUUAAGCGACUAGGCGUACACCGUGGAUGCCCUGUGAGUGUGAGGCUAUGAAGGACGUUCUAAUCUCCGAUAAGCGUCGGGCAGGUGAUAUGAACCCUAAUAACCGGCGAUCUCCUAAUGGGGAAACCCAGUGUGUUUCGACACACUAUCAUUAACUGAAUCCAUAGGUUAAUGAGGCGAACCGGGGGAACUGAAACAUCUAAGUACCCCGAGGAAAAGAAAUCAACCGAGAUUCCCCCAGUAGCGGCGAGCGAACGGGGAGGAGCCCAGAGCCUGAAUCAGUGUGUGUGUUAGUGGAAGCGUCUGGAAAGGCGCGCGAUACAGGGUGACAGCCCCGUACACAAAAAUGCACAUACUGUGAGCUCGAUGAGUAGGGCGGGACACGUGGUAUCCUGUCUGAAUAUGGGGGGACCAUCCUCCAAGGCUAAAUACUCCUGACUGACCGAUAGUGAACCAGUACCGUGAGGGAAAGGCGAAAAGAACCCCGGCGAGGGGAGUGAAAAAGAACCUGAAACCGUGUACGUACAAGCAGUGGGAGCCUCUUAAUGGGGUGACUGCGUACCUUUUGUAUAAUGGGUCAGCGACUUAUAUUCUGUAGCAAGGUUAACCGAAUAGGGGAGCCGAAGGGAAACCGAGUCUUAACUGGGCGCUAAGUUGCAGGGUAUAGACCCGAAACC
rnacentral:rRNA from 1 species